UACGUAGGGUGCAAGCGUUAUCCGGAUUCACUGGGUUUAAAGGGUGCGUAGGUGGGCAUGUAAGUCAGUGGUGAAAUCUCCGGGCUUAACCCGGAAACUGCCAUUGAUACUAUAUGUCUUGAAUACCAUGGAGGUGAGCGGAAUAUGUCAUGUAGCGGUGAAAUGCUUAGAUAUGACAUAGAACACCAAUUGCGAAGGCAGCUCACUACGCGGUUAUUGACACUGAGGCACGAAAGCGUGGGGAGCAAACAGG
rnacentral:rRNA from 1 species